CAAAUAUAUUAAGGAUAGGACUCCUAUUGAAUGCGUUAUUGACGAUGGUGAGGGACCCUCACUGAGGGUGUAUGUCUUGUUUUAUACAUACCACGUUCUACAUUACACUUAAGUUACUGAACUUAAGCCCAAAAUCACACUAGGUCUAAUUGAUAGCUCUACUAAGAAGACAAAUAAGUAAACAAAGAACAAUCUUUGCUCUACAUCACACUAGGUCUAAUUGACAUACCACAAUCUUUGCUCUGUUUUUUGGUGGGAGGAGGACACAAAUAGACACCAUGCACCAACAACAAACGCCUAUUUCACCCAGUCCUUAACUCACCCAACCACUUGUAAGACGAAUCAAGACUAGCGGAGUAACAUUUUAAUACCAGUAAAUAGCUGAGCUAGCUGGUGGACUAUUUUGAAAAGAACGAAAGAAUCCGAUGAGAAUAUAACGUGCCAACAGCCAACUCAAUGGCAAGAGUUUCGCGAGAAAUUUUUUUAAGGAUACAAACCAUGUUCAUUUCGGGAUUUUGGACUUCGGACUUUCUCCCUGUGCAUGGUCCCCAUAAAUUUUUUUUUAUCAAUUAUUACUCUCAUUUUUUUCUCUAUCUCUCUCACUCAUUACCCAAAAUCCAAAAUCCUAAAACAAACAUGGCCAGUUCUUGGAACAAAUUCCCGUGCAUAGAACGGGCUCACCACUAGUAUCCUUGAUGACAAAUUGUCCCCCCAAAAAAAUCAUGAAACAACGGGGCGCCUUGACCCCAAUAGCCCUCUCCUAGAUCCGUCUCUGAUGACAAUGUUAAUCCCUUGUUUGGAUUCCAACUUCAAAAAAAAAAAAUUCAACUCAAAAAACAUUCAUUUCCCCUACUUUCAAUCAUUAUUUUCAUUUUUCUCUUAUCUCUCCAAUUAUUAUUCUCAUUUUUUUCUCUAUCUCUUUCUACUCAUUACCCUUAUUUCCAAUCAUUAGCCUAAUUUCUCUCCGAUCAUUACCCAAGAAACCAAACCCAAAAUUUUUUCAAAAAGGAACCAAACAUAACAUUAUCUUCCCACAUCUGCAUAAGUUUUGGCCUUGAUUUCGUUUUGAGUUUGCUAGUAAAGAAAAUUAAAAUGCAAAAAUUUGAAAAAAGGAAAACCAAAAGAAAACAGGCUGCCAUUAGCCCAGAUUUUGUGAUCGAGGGAUUGUACCUGGAAGAUUUGCAACUACUGUCUCAGCGUAAUGUCCAGUACAAACCACCACAGCCUGAAACUCCUCCUCGCCACUCGCCCCACUCGUUCUCGACUCAACAACCCACUCAUCAUCAUCCCCCGAGUCGAACCUCUCAACUCGGACGACUUCGGUCUCGAACCGGAUCAACUCAGUGAGUCCGAAUUCCCUCGCGAAAUCCUUCACGAACUUGAGCACCUCCUCGUGUCCGGGGAAAUUCCUCGGAUCCCCGUAAACCCGAUCGGUAAACGAGUAGUCCGAGAGACCCAUGAGGUGUCUGGGCAAGUUGGUUCGGAGAGAGGAGUAGAGGCUGCUGUCGACGAUCUCCCGUUUCGGGUCGAGGCCCAAUGGAUCGGACUCGACACGCGGAUCGUAGACCCAUGUUCCACCAGGUUGGUUUGAUUUUUCAUAGACCACGACUCGGUGGCCUUCUCUGAGUAGCUCACGGGCUGUGACUAGGCCUGAUACCCCGGCCCCAAUUAUUGCCACCUUCAGAGAGAUUUCCAUUGUGUUUUCCAACUUUUCCAACUUUUGUCUUUAU